rnacentral:misc_RNA from 1 species
ACGAAUUUCAGGGGUUGUGCUGGUUCUUACAAGUGCACACCUCUUUAUUCCAUUCACACCCACCGUGCACUUUAAGAGACGUAUUUCCCCCGUUUACGUGCCUUUAUUGGCUUGGGAUUUCGUCUGUUAUAUACACACUCAUUAGUAUCAGAAUGUAAUAAAGCGGAAACGCUAAAACAUAAAUA